GCUAGGCUUCCUAUAACUUCCUUCCUCCUGUUCCUCAGAUCUUCCAUAGCUAGGCUUAAUGUAACUCUCCACCUGAUCCUCAGACCUCCCAUAACUAGGUUUCCUGUAACUUCCUUCCUCUUCCUCAGAUCUUCCAUAGCUAGGCUUCCUAUAACCUUCCUCUUCUUCCUCAGAUCUUCCAUAACUUGGCUUCCUAUAACCUUCCUCUUGUUCUUCAGAUCUUCCAUAACUUGGCUUCCUAUAACCUUCCUCUUGUUCCUCAGAUCUUCCAUAGCUAGGCUUUCUAUAACCUUCUUCUUGUUCCUCAGACCUUCCAUAGCUAGGCUUACGCUCAUACUCAGUCUCCGAUCUCCCACCAUAUCCAGAUUCAGGUCUCCGACCAUACUCAACCUCAGUUCUUCCACCACCACCAGAUCCAUACUCCGAUUCAGUCUCCGUCCUUCCACCAUAACCAGAUCCAUAACUCUGUUCAGGUCUCCGACCAUACUCCACCUCCGUUUGUCCACCGUAUCCAGAUUCAGUCUCCGUCUGACCACCAUAACCGGAUCCAUACUCCGAUUCCGGUUUCCUCCCAUAACCGGAUCCAGAUCCAUAACCAGGAUUU
rnacentral:lncRNA from 1 species